UCCUCCUGGCUCAGGAUGAACGCUAGCGGCAGGCUUAACACAUGCAAGUCGAGGGGCAGCGCGGGGUAGCAAUACUCUGGCGGCGACCGGCGGAAGGGUGCGGAACACGUGAGCAACUUGCCCGUGACAGGGGGAUAACCGAUGGAAACGUCGACUAACACCCCGUAACAACGGAUCCCGCAUGGGAUUUGUUUGAAAACCGAGGUGGUCACGGAUAGGCUCGCGGUGCAUUAGCCAGUUGGCGGGGCAACGGCCCACCAAAGCAACGAUGCAUAGGGGUUCUGAGAGGAAGACCCCCCACAUUGGGACUGAGACACGGCCCAAACUCCUACGGGAGGCAGCAGUGAGGAAUAUUGGACAAUGGAGGCAACUCUGAUCCAGCCAUGCCGCGUGCGGGACUAAGGCCCUAUGGGUCGUAAACCGCUUUUGACGGAGAGCAAUAAGGGCCACGCGUGGUCCGAUGAGAGUACCCGUCGAAUAAGCAUCGGCUAACUCCGUGCCAGCAGCCGCGGUAAUACGGAGGAUGCGAGCGUUAUCCGGAAUCAUUGGGUUUAAAGGGUGCGUAGGCUGUUCUGCAAGUCAGCGGUGAAAUACCGAUGCCCAACAUCGGGGCUGCCGUUGAUACUGCGGGGCUGGAGUACGGAUGCCGUGGGAGGAAUGAGUGGUGUAGCGGUGAAAUGCAUAGAUAUCACUCAGAACACCGAUUGCGAAGGCAUCUCACGAAACCGUAACUGACGCUGAGGCACGAAAGCGUGGGGAUCGAACAGGAUUAGAUACCCUGGUAGUCCACGCAGUAAACGAUGAUGACUAACUGUCGGCGAUAAAUAGUCGGUAGCCAAGCGAAAGCGAUAAGUCAUCCACCUGGGGAGUACGACCGCAAAGGUUGAAACUCAAAGGAAUUGACGGGGGCCCGCACAAGCGGAGGAACAUGUGGUUUAAUUCGAUGAUACGCGAGGAACCUUACCCGGGCUCGAACGGAGGCUGACGGGGGUCGGAGAUGACCCCUUCUCUUCGGAGCGGCCUUCGAGGUGCUGCAUGGUUGUCGUCAGCUCGUGCCGUGAGGUGUCGGCUCAAGUGCCAUAACGAGCGCAACCCCUGCCGCCAGUUACCAGCACGCAAAGGUGGGGACUCUGGCGGGACUGCCACCGCAAGGUGAGAGGAAGGGGAGGAUGACGUCAAAUCAGCACGGCCCUUACGUCCGGGGCGACACACGUGUUACAAUGGCGGCCACAG
rnacentral:rRNA from 1 species